ensembl:lncRNA
AAUUACAUAGCAUCUCUUGUACUGUACCUCUUGGUCACAUUUGCUGUCUAUUUGUACCAUAUAUUUACAGAGAACUGGAAAGAACACAAUAUCAGAAAACAGUGCUCAAGAGAACCAUCAGCUGUUGCAAUCAGGACCCGUUCUGUCUGCUUGUUCCUCAGCAAGUGAUCAACAGAGGACCAAGAAGGACACAAUUUCAGAGAUCAGUGCUCAAGAGAACUGUCUGCCAUUGCAGUCCAGACCUGCUCUGUCUGCAUGUUCCUCAGCAAAUGAUAAGAUGAGAAAUUCCAAUCCUGAGAAGACUGCAUGGGUCACCCCUAUGUCUCGUCAGUCAGAGCCUCUGAAGGAUGACAGCAACAACAGCAGUUCUGGGCAGGUACAUUUCUUUAAAAGUCAUUAGUUUUUAAAAGCUUUCUGAAGUUGUA